rnacentral:rRNA from 1 species
GUCGAGCGCACCUUCGGGUGAGCGGCGGACGGGUUAGUAACGCGUGGGAACAUACCCUUUUCUACGGAAUAGCCUCGGGAAACUGAGAGUAAUACCGUAUAAGCCCUUCGGGGGAAAGAUUUAUCGGGAAAGGAUUGGCCCGCGUUAGAUUAGAUAGUUGGUGGGGUAAUGGCCUACCAAGUCUACGAUCUAUAGCUGGUUUUAGAGGAUGAUCAGCAACACUGGGACUGAGACACGGCCCAGACUCCUACGGGAGGCAGCAGUGGGGAAUCUUAGACAAUGGGGGCAACCCUGAUCUAGCCAUGCCGCGUGAGUGAUGAAGGCCUUAGGGUCGUAAAGCUCUUUCGCCUGUGAUGAUAAUGACAGUAGCAGGUAAAGAAACCCCGGCUAACUUCGUGCCAGCAGCCGCGGUAUUCCGGA